UUGGCUACGGCUUCUCCAAAAGCAGGUAAAAAAAAUACCAGGGUUAUGCUGAGGGAAAGAAAGGGCAGGAGAAAGCAGGGUGGCCCAGUCCAUUCAAUCCCAUAAGUGCCCUCGGACUAAUUGGUGUAUGUGGGCACUUAUUACGAGCUGGGACCCUAGGGAAGGUACAAUUCCAGCAGCUGGGAAGAGUGAACACAAAAUGGGGCUUGCAGAAAGAGACCAUGACACUAGUACAGGGCAUCUAGCGCUGCACAGCAAGGCAGAAAGUGGUAAUAUUGAGCUAUUUCAACAAAAAGCACAACACACUGGGAUUAACAGAAGCCGUGAACUUCACUGGGAGUCUAAAGGGAGGGUUUGCUCUAAGAUCUAGUAGGAAGGAUGUGACCUAAAAUGGUACUGUAAAAAUAGAUGAGGCUCUAAUGUGCUCUAGGGCUUGCUGAGGAUGUGGAAACAUUUUUAUUACUUAUCUGAUUUUGGACAUGUGUGGGAGAGAAAGAGCUACAAUAAUUGCAAAACACAUAGGAUGGUAAGAAAACCUUACCAGUGGGGGCAAUGAACUUGGACAGCUCUGCCCUUUUAGGAGAAAUAAGAGGGGUUAAUAUGUAAAAAUAAAGCAUAAGUUCAUUGACUUUGGGAGGAUUUUCUUGAUGGGCAAAUUUUUUAACAGGUAUUUGAAAAGGUUGUCCAAAAAAGCGCAAACAGUACAUUUUUCUAAUCAGCCCAUCUUCCCAGUCCAUUCAUCCUUGCUUUCUGGGCAGAGAGGGUGUUCAUACACCCACCACUUGUAGUUAAAAUCCUUGAGCUACAAUCUGCGGGAGCUGCCUGAGAGCGGAGGGAGUGAAACCUGGGUCAGUGAGGUGGAGCGGUGCCCGCUGUGUCAGGGCAGGAGCAGGUGAAAGAGCUGACACUUGUGAUGCCAUUGCAGCUGCAGAAAGCAACUCUUCUCUGCUUGAAACUGAGGAAACGCAAACACAAUAUGAACCUGUCCAAGACGUGACCAAUAUUGCUGGUACUUGCUGGGAACCGAUGCUGGCCAGGAGGCAGCAAAGAAAUUUGUGGAGUUUUAUGCGAGCUGGUGUUGGUUUCAAGCCUGUCACUGUCAUGUGCAGCCCUCUGGGUCCCCAGAAGGCUGGUAGUGAUUGGCUUUUUGAGGGUGCAUUGGCAAAAAGGGGCUCAAAAUAACGGGGGUCACCAGGUACCACUCAGGGGUGCCUGCGGGGGGGGGCCUGACACAGGUGGCAGCACUGGGGGCACCUCAGCGUGUGCUGGGGGGAGGGAGCACCGUGUGUUGGGGAACCCUCACGGUAUGUGGGGGCUCCCAAACCGCGGGUUGGGGGGGUCCCUGGGGUCCCCCCGCUCCCCCCGCUCCCCCCCCCCCCCCGAGGGCUCAGCACUCACCCCUUGCUCACCGUGCCACCGCCAUCUUGUUUACCGGCGGUUGCCAUGGCGACGUCGGGGGCGCUGCGAUUGGCUCAGCCCUGGUCACGUGGAGGGCGAGGCAGCCCCAGAGGACUACAUAUCCCAGCAUGCACCGCUCCUGCCCCCCUCGGGGGUACCCCGGCUAUGGCGGGAGGGCGGCAGGUUGACCCCGGCCAGAACCCCGCUGUGGGGUGGGGAUAAGCUGGGGGAAGCCCCCUCCAUCUGUGGUACGAGGGGGGAGGCCCAGGCUGCCAGUAGGCUUGGCUCCAUGCGGCCGCCAGCCAGGCCGAACCGCUCCCUGCCUGUCCUCUGCCCUGCCCACCUGCCUGCAAAAUGGUGCUUUUCCAACCUCUGUUCGCUUCAGCACUUGGAAGAGGCUGCCCAGAGAGGUGGUCGAGUCACCAUCCCUGGGGUGUUCAAAAAACAUGCAGACGUGGCACUUGGGGACACGGUUUAGGAGGCCUUGGGGGUGUUGGGUCGGUGGUUGGACUUGAUCUUAGAGGUCUUUUCCAACCUUAAUGAUUCUACGAAUCCGUGAUUCGGAGUGUUUCAGACGUCUCACGGUGCUGGGGUGGGACGUGGUGCAGCAGCACUACACGCAGCCACGCUUCCUCUCCUCAGCACUCCUCUGCAUGCCCUUAGCUUCAGCUCAUAGACACGGUCUGUAGCACAGCCUGACCCGAGGCAUCACACACUGUACGGCUGCUCCCAUUUUUCCUCAACUGCUUCUCCUGUCUCUGUUUCCUAGCAAUGGUUUCCUUCACACGGGCACUACCACCCUCUCGUUUUGCCUCGCUGAUGCUUUGAACUCAACCCAGCGCUUGCCCCUGCAAUGGCUGCACGCCACAUCCAGAGAGCCUUCCCUGCACAUCCCCCGUCCCGUCCGCCGCUGCUGUGCUGCUCCGCUCUCCAGAAAGCUCAGCCUCACCAGCUGGAGAGGAGCAGGAGAGGCUAAUUUUUAGCACCUUUUAUAGGAUGCUGGCUGUCCACAAGAGACUUUCAUUUUGACAUUUCUAUGAAGAGCAAAAAUUUACUAAAUUUGGUGAAGCUUUGCUGCAGAGGAGCCUUCAGCACUGGGUGGAGGCUGGCAGUGGCCUCGCUGCGCUGUGAUGCACUUCACCAACACAAAACCAGACAACAGGUGUAUGUGCUUGGUGUAUUUUGGUAGCUUUACUUAUUUCAAAAUGUCUUAAAAUAACCAGAUCCCUUUUGUUUCCUGCUGCUGCAGUUGAGUGAGUGGGGGAGCUCAGAGGUCUGCUGUGAAGAGAUGGAUGUCGGGGGGCUGGAAGGAAGCAAUUCCCUGAUCCAUUACCUGGAUCAGACUACCCCAGGCUUGUAACUGAAAUUCAGAGGGACAGCUUGGGCCCAGCUUCCGCCCUAAGUUGCAGGGAAGGAGGUUUGUUACACGGCGCAAUGCAGAGACCUUGUUGAAAUGUUGGCUGCAAUUUGCAAACCCUUCCAGUGAACUGGGAGUGGGGUUUAACCCCUAACCACUACUAGUUCUUCAUGGGUGCAGGGCACGGGACAGGGAGUAUACGGGGAGAAGCAAGCUCAGCCUGGGGGCGUUUCAUGCUGCAGGUGGUAUUCUGUGAUGUGGGAAACAGCAGGGUGAGGGGCUUGCUGCCUUUGUUCAGAGAAGUGGCUAGGGCAUCCCAUUUGGAGCUGGUUGUGCAGCCCUGCCAGGGAACAGGGGUAACACGUGCCGGGCGAUGUAGGUCAACAGCUCUGGAGAAGUGAGGCUGAAAGGGCUGUAUGGUGUCUUCCCCACCUGACAGUCCCCCAUGCCAUGUCUUGCACCUCCUCCCUCGCAGCAUCAGCAGUGGAUGUGGCUUCCCCAAAGCGCCCUGGGUUUAAACAACGGUUUUGGGUGGCGGUGCCAGUGCAGGGAAGGAAGGCGUGAUUGGUGAAACAGGGCCACCGCUGUGCUUAAAGCCUUCGACCACAAUCGCUGCAAGCAGAUGAGGAAGCGUCACGGCACACCGUGAGCUGAGACCCGAUCAUGCAGGCCCUCCAGCGUGUCCACCUGCUCCUCCUGCUCACCCUGCUUGUCCUCUGCAUGCCCCUCAGCCAGGCACAGAAGACAGAUGCAGCCACGACCACCUUCCACGCCACUGUGAACCCCCCUGCAGCCAGCCUGAGCCCUUCCUGCAGCAGCCCACCCCUCCUCUCCCUCGCCCUGGGGCUGGCUGUGGCUCUCUUCCUGCAGCUGCGCUGACCCGGAGGGGACCACAGUGCACCCCGCUCCCCAGCACCCCCCGCCAAAGAAGACACCCACAGGAUGGCAACCCCCAGCACUGGCACCUCCUUGGACCCUCACAGCGCGGAGCUGUGACCAGCACGGACCACCCCACAUCCUCACACCGUGGAGGACCAGCCAGCACGCUGCCAUCACUCCCUCCGCUCAGUCCUCCUGCCUCAAAAUGCCAGAGCAGCCCCGGCUUGAAGCAAACCCCUGGGACCAGCUUGGGAGUGGGCCUGCUGUAACCCUCUAAGAAAUAAAGUGAUGCAGAGGCCUUUU